rnacentral:miRNA from 1 species
UCUGUCCCUCUUGGCCCUUAG